AGCACAAGUGUGUCUGGGCACAAGACACUCUUCAGAGCUGGAGAGGAGACAUCCCAGCAAUUGGACAGGGGCCAUGGAGAGGAACCUAGGAGCUCUGCUGGGGAUUCUGUGGGUGCAGAGUUGCUGGGUGAGAGGAGAUGAUGUGAAGCAGAGUCCUUUAGCCCUGAGUCUCCAAGAGGGAACCACUUCUGUUCUGAGAUGCAAUUUUUCUAUCACCAUGACAACUGUGCAGUGGUUCCUACAGAAUCCCAGUGGCAGCCUCAUAAAUCUUUUUUACCUGGUUCCAGGAACAAAGGAGAUUGGGAGGUUAAAGUCAAUGUUUGAUUCUAAGGAGCGCUACAGCACCCUGCACAUCAGGGAUGCCCAGCUGGAGGAUGCAGGCACGUACCUCUGUGCGGCUGAGCCACAGUGCUCCCAGCAAGCCUAG